GUCCGGCUGACGAGUCUCAAAUAGGACGAAACGCGCGUUCUGGAC
rnacentral:hammerhead_ribozyme from 1 species